UUAAACCGUUUUACGCGGCGGUUCAACAGUUGUGACGUCAUUUCCAACGGACCAGUUUUUCCACUAAUAAAAUGUGUAACGUUAGCUGUUUAAAAGGACAAAACGAAUAGCCCAAGAAAAAGAAAACAAAGAAAAAAACAAGAAUUCCUGUGUGGCAUUUUUUACCCGUCACAUGAAAAGGAGGUCCAUUAUCUGUGCAUAAAGUAACGUUACAUGGACCCAUCAUGGAGCAUCAUGCAGUAUUUCUUCCAUUUUUCUAGUAAGAAGAAAAUCAUAUGGGUUUACAUGAGGUAAAUGAUGAUCAAUGCUUUGGUGUUAUUAUAACAAUCACACCUUCAGCAUCUGACCCUGAAAACAUCAAUAACAACAACAACAGAAACGCAUGAACACUCGAUGUGCAGCAGGUCCGAGCCAAGCGUCUCCAAACAAAAGAAACCAACCGACCCGUCAGUGAUGAGCUGAACUCACCU